GGGGUGAUUAGUGACAGAGUGAGGGAGGGGGUGACUAGUGACAGAGUGAGGGAGCAGGUGACACAGUGACAGAGUUAGGAGGGAGUGACUAGUGACGGAGAGAGGGAUGGGGUGACUAGUGACAGUCACCCCCUCCCUCACUCUGUCACUAGUCACUCCCUCUCUCACUCUGUCACUAGUCACCCCCUCUCUCACUCUGUCACUAGUCACCCCAUUCCCUCUCUCUGUCACUCCCUCUCUCUGUCACUAGUCACACCCUCCCUCACUCUGUCACUAGUCACACCC